CGCGGGAUAGAGCAGCUUGGUAGCUCGUCGGGCUCAUAACCCGGAGGUCGUAGGUUCAAAUCCUACUCCCGCAACCA
rnacentral:tRNA from 4 species